rnacentral:rRNA from 1 species
UACAGAGGUCUCAAGCGUUGUUCGGAUUCAUUGGGCGUAAAGGGUGCGUAGGUGGCGUGGUAAGUCGGGUGUGAAAUUUCGGAGCCUAACUCCGAAACUGCAUUCGAUACUGCUGUGCUUGAGGACUGGAGAGGAGACUGGAAUUUACGGUGUAGCAGUGAAAUGCGUAGAGAUCGUAAGGAAGACCAGUGGCGAAGGCGGGUCUCUGGACAGUUCCUGACACUGAGGCACGAAGGCCAGGGGAGCAAACGGG